GACGAACGCUGGCGGCGUGCUUAACACAUGCAAGUCGAACGAUGAAGCCCAGCUUGCUGGGUGGAUUAGUGGCGAACGGGUGAGUAACACGUGGGCAACCUGCCCCAAACUCUGGGAUAACUCCUCGAAAGAGGUGCUAAUACCGGAUACGAACUAGACAGACAUCUGUACUAGUUGGAAAGUUUUUCGGUUUGGGAUGGGCCCGCGGCCUAUCAGCUUGUUGGUGAGGUAACGGCUCACCAAGGCUACGACGGGUAACCGGCCUGAGAGGGGGACCGGUCACACUGGGACUGAGACACGGCCCAGACUCCUACGGGAGGCAGCAGUGGGGAAUAUUGCGCAAUGGGCGAAAGCCUGACGCAGCGACGCCGCGAGAGGGAUGAAGGUCUUCGGAUCGUAAACCUCUUUCAGUAGGGACGAAGCGAAAGUGACGGUACCUAAAGAAGAAGCACCGGCUAACUACGUGCCAGCCGCCGCAGUAA
rnacentral:rRNA from 1 species